GCGUUCGUAGCUCAUCUGGAUAGAGCGUCUCCCUCCGGAGGAGAAGGUAGGAGGUUCGAAUCCUCUCGAGCGCGCCA
rnacentral:tRNA from 1 species